rnacentral:rRNA from 1 species
UUUCCGAAUGGGGAAACCCAGUGUGAUUCGUCACACUAUCAUUAACUGAAUCCAUAGGUUAAUGAGGCGAACCGGGGGAACUGAAACAUCUAAGUACCCCGAGGAAAAGAAAUCAACCGAGAUUCCCCCAGUAGCGGCGAGCGAACGGGGAGCAGCCCAGAGCCUGAAUCAGUGUGUGUGUUAGUGGAAGCGUCUGGAAAGGCGCGCGAUACAGGGUGACAGCCCCGUACACAAAAAUGCACAUGCUGUGAGCUCGAUGAGUAGGGCGGGACACGUGGUAUCCUGUCUGAAUAUGGGGGGACCAUCCUCCAAGGCUAAAUACUCCUGACUGACCGAUAGUGAACCAGUACCGUGAGGGAAAGGCGAAAAGAACCCCGGCGAGGGGAGUGAAAAAGAACCUGAAACCGUGUACGUACAAGCAGUGGGAGCACGCUUAGGCGUGUGACUGCGUACCUUUUGUAUAAUGGGUCAGCGACUUAUAUUCUGUAGCAAGGUUAACCGAAUAGGGGAGCCGAAGGGAAACCGAGUCUUAACUGGGCGUUAAGUUGCAGGGUAUAGACCCGAAACCCGGUGAUCUAGCCAUGGGCAGGUUGAAGGUUGGGUAACACUAACUGGAGGACCGAACCGACUAAUGUUGAAAAAUUAGCGGAUGACUUGUGGCUGGGGGUGAAAGGCCAAUCAAACCGGGAGAUAGCUGGUUCUCCCCGAAAGCUAUUUAGGUAGCGCCUCGUGAAUUCAUCUCCGGGGGUAGAGCACUGUUUCGGCAAGGGGGUCAUCCCGACUUACCAACCCGAUGCAAACUGCGAAUACCGGAGAAUGUUAUCACGGGAGACACACGGCGGGUGCUAACGUCCGUCGUGAAGAGGGAAACAACCCAGACCGCCAGCUAAGGUCCCAAAGUCAUGGUUAAGUGGGAAACGAUGUGGGAAGGCCCAGACAGCCAGGAUGUUGGCUUAGAAGCAGCCAUCAUUUAAAGAAAGCGUAAUAGCUCACUGGUCGAGUCGGCCUGCGCGGAAGAUGUAACGGGGCUAAACCAUGCACCGAAGCUGCGGCAGCGACGCUUAUGCGUUGUUGGGUAGGGGAGCGUUCUGUAAGCCUGUGAAGGUGUGCUGUGAGGCAUGCUGGAGGUAUCAGAAGUGCGAAUGCUGACAUAAGUAACGAUAAAGCGGGUGAAAAGCCCGCUCGCCGGAAGACCAAGGGUUCCUGUCCAACGUUAAUCGGGGCAGGGUGAGUCGACCCCUAAGGCGAGGCCGAAAGGCGUAGUCGAUGGGAAACAGGUUAAUAUUCCUGUACUUGGUGUUACUGCGAAGGGGGGACGGAGAAGGCUAUGUUGGCCGGGCGACGGUUGUCCCGGUUUAAGCGUGUAGGCUGGUUUUCCAGGCAAAUCCGGAAAAUCAAGGCUGAGGCGUGAUGA